AUAAUUUUGAGUUUGAUCCUGGCUCAGAGUGAAUGCUCUUAACAUGCUUUACACAUGCGAGGUAAACGGCUAAUACUUUUAGUAUUAUCAGUAACGCACGGGUGCGUAAUAGUGGGUAAAAAUGUGUCUGUUGCAAAUAGAUGAUAUCGGAGGCUCGUUUCUUUCCACUCGUAAUGUGCAAUAAUUUAACUAGCGGAGUACUAUAUUUUUUUCACUACGUAUAAUGCUAAUUAAAAAAAAGAUUUAUUGCAGAUGCGUUUUAUCCAUCAAGAUCAGGUUGUUGGUGAAGAACAGCUCACCAAGCCGGAGACCUUUAGCUAGUUUGAAAAAAUGUGUAGCCACAUCGGGACUGUAACAAGGCCCGAAUUCCUUAGGGAGGCAGCAGUGGGGAAUACUGGACAAUGAGUUAAUGCUUGAUCCGGCAAUGUUAAACGAAUGACUUGAAAGUAAUGAGCUGUAAAAUUCAUAAAGCUGAGUCACUAUAAAGUGAAUGACUUGGUAAAGCCCCGACUAACCUCGUGCCAGCAGUCGCGGUAAUACGGGGGGGGCAAGUGUUACUCAUCAUGACUAGGCGUAGAGGGUGUUAGGAUUGCUAACGUUUGUGGUUUUAGAAAGAUCAAUGGAAUUAUUGAAAAAUAUAACUUAAACGAGUUAGCUUGGGUUGGUUGGAGAAUAGAAUUACUAGUUUUUGAGGGGUAGAAUCCGACGAGAAGAUUAGGAGGACCAAAGGCGAAGGCAACUAUUUAUGAUCUACUGACAUUGAUACACGAAAGCGUGGGGAGCAAACAGGAUUAGAUACCCUGGUAGUCCACGCCCUGACCUAUGAAUGUGAAAAUAUCUUUUUGUAUUUAAACAAUGUUUCUAUGCAAUGCAGCCUAUUUGGCUUGUUUUGAAAAGUUUAUUUUAGCGAACGCGAAAGCAUUCCGCCUGGGGACUACGGCCGCAAGGUUGAAACUCAAAGGAAUUGACGGAGGAUCACACAAGCGGUGGAGCAUGUGGCUUAAUGCGUAAUAACGCGCAAAACCUUACCAGUUUUUGUAUGCUAAUGUGACUGGAUUUUAAAAAUCCGGGAGGUUAAAUCAUUUCUUAUUUCUUUGAGUUAAAAAAAUGACAGUUAGCACAGGAGCUGCAUGGCUGUCGUCAGUUCGUGCCGUGAGGUGUCAGGUUCAGUCCGAUAACGAACGUAACCCCGAGUUCUAGUUGUUUGGCUUGUAGGUUCAAACGUUUCACGUACUUACGGCCUAGUUAGGAAGACAGUCAUUGAAAAAUGAAGGAAGUAGGGAAGAUGUCAAGUCAGUAUGGCCUCGAUAAACUGGGCUGCCGCACAUGCUACAAUGCUGGUCACAGCACGUUGCAAAAAUGUGAGUUUGAGCAAAUCGCUAAAAAUUAGCUUAGUUCAGAUUAUUCUCUGCAACUCGAGAGUAUGAAGGCGGAAUCGCUAGUAAUCGCGGAUCAGCACGCCGCGGUGAAUUGGAAUCUGAUCCUAGUACAUACCGCCCGUCACGCCACGAAAAUUUGUUCUGUUGGAAGUUUUACGCACUGGGACUUUCGUUUUGCAAAUAUGCAUAAUUUUAUGUAUAAUUUUUUUAUUUGCACUUAAGAAUCUAAUAAAGCUAAGACAAUAACAGGAUAAGUAAUUAGGGUGAAGUCGUAACAGGGUAGUCGUAGGGGAACCUGUGGCUGGGUUAUUUUUUCA
rnacentral:rRNA from 1 species